GUCCCCAUCGUCUAGGCGGCCAAGGACGCUGGCUUCUCAGGUCAGAAACACUGGUUCGAAUCCGGUUGGGGACACCA
rnacentral:tRNA from 1 species